CUAAGAUUGACAAAUUAAUACCAUGGCGACCUGUUAGUCAGGCUAGAGUGACUCAUACCCACAGCACUGUGUAGAUUUCAUCAGCGCCGUUGAAAAAGCUUAUGAGGAGUUCUCUGGCACAUUUUCAUGCCUCAUCUGGAUCCCUCACUUGUAGCUGUGUCAAACUUUGGCAGCCCCCAACAAGAAAAGGACAUAUAACAAAAACUAUUUGAAAGAUUAACACAAAAUGACCACAGGAUGUCGCUAGUGUCCAUGGAAUGACCAGAAGGUACUGUAUGAGGCGCAUAGGGCCCUACAUGAGCUGCUGUUAUGAAGGGUCGCGGGGGGGCUGGAGCCAAUCCCAGCUGACAUCGGGCGCAAGGCGGGGGAACCCUGGACAGGUCGCCAGUCCAUCGCAGAGCAGAGUGUCUGGAGAAUGGCGACCCCCUUUGUUCAUUCGGAGGAUGUGAGGGGCAGGCCAGCUGCUUUUAUCGCUGCUCCACAUAAACAGCUGCACAUCUGGGCAGGCUGAGUUGCCUCGGGGGAGCAGAAGGGAGGCUGAGGACCGGCUGCACGACGUGUAAAUGAACAAGGGCCUGAAGGGGACGGCAGUCGACAAGCACCCGUUGUCUUCUUGGCUGCUUUUCGAAGUAGGCUUAAGUUUCUUUGGGAUCUUAUUUGUUUCCUUGUUCUUCAUCAUUGUUCACUGCCUUUCCUGAUUGUUUCAAUAGAGAGCGAAUAUGAAAUACUCAUUGUU